GACGAACGCUGGCGGCGUGCUUAACACAUGCAAGUCGAACGAAGUCGCGUACGUGUGAGUAACGCGUAAUCAACCUGCCCUUCAGUGGGGGCCCACCCUUGGAAACGACUGCUAAUCCCCCAUCCUGUAGGAGGGGAUUGCGUCUGAUUAGCUAGUUGGCGGGGUAACGGCCCACCAAGGCGAUGAUCAGUAGCCGGUGUGAGAGGAUGAACGGCCAAAAUGGGACUGUGACACGGCCCAGACUCCUACGGGAGGCAGCAGUGGGGAAUCUUCCGCAAUGGACGAAAGGCUGACGGAGCAACGCCGCGUGAGUGAUGACGGCCUUCGGGUUGUAAAGCUCUGUUAAUCGGGACGCGGUACCGGAAGAGAAAGCCACGGCUAACUACGUGCCAGCAGCCGCGGUAAUAG
rnacentral:rRNA from 1 species